CAGAUUUGUGCGGUUCACCAGUAGUGGUACGCAAUAAGAAGCCAUGUAGGAAAAAACUGAGUUGCCUGUACUCAGUGUUGAUCUCCCCACAAUGGCCUGUGGACUGAUGCUGUACCUGGGCACCAACUGGAUCACCUAUUUUGGUUUACUUCGUGACAACAACACCAGGGGAAAUGGCAACACAGCCGACGAAGUGCAGGCGUGUGGGGUCAUGAGUCAUUCAGAGCAACACCAGCAGGAGAGGAUGUGAAGUGACCGAACUUCCCUCGGAGGAGUUGGGCCCUGCUCGCGUUGAAACACUAUGCACCACAGAUGACACCGAAA